rnacentral:rRNA from 1 species
UGCCCCGAGAUGAGUUCUCCCUGACCCUUUAAGGGUCCUGAAGGAACGUUGAAGACGACGACGUUGAUAGGCCGGGUGUGUAAGCGCAGCGAUGCGUUGAGCUAACCGGUACUAAUGAACCGUGAGGCUUAACCUUAC